GAGUUUGAUCUUGGCUCAGAUUGAACGCUGGCGGCAGGCCUAACACAUGCAAGUCGAGCGGUAGAGAGAAGCUUGCUUCUCUUGAGAGCGGCGGACGGGUGAGUAAUGCCUAGGAAUCUGCCUGGUAGUGGGGGAUAACGCUCGGAAACGGACGCUAAUACCGCAUACGUCCUACGGGAGAAAGCAGGGGACCUUCGGGCCUUGCGCUAUCAGAUGAGCCUAGGUCGGAUUAGCUAGUUGGUGAGGUAAUGGCUCACCAAGGCGACGAUCCGUAACUGGUCCGAGAGGAUGAUCAGUCACACUGGAACUGAGACACGGUCCAGACUCCUACGGGAGGCAGCAGUGGGGAAUAUUGGACAAUGGGCGAAAGCCUGAUCCAGCCAUGCCGCGUGUGUGAAGAAGGUCUUCGGAUUGUAAAGCACUUUAAGUUGGGAGGAAGGGCAGUAAAUUAAUACUUUGCUGUUUUGACGUUACCGACAGAAUAAGCACCGGCUAACUCUGUGCCAGCCGCCGCCG
rnacentral:rRNA from 1 species